rnacentral:rRNA from 1 species
GACCAACCCUUGAAGACUGCUACAUCUUCAGGAUAUUCUAGUCCAACAUCGAGGUCACAAACUCCCUUUUCGAUAAGAACUCUCAAAGAGAAUUAUGCUGUUAUCCCUAUGGUAACUAAUUCCAUUGAUCAAAAUUUCUGGAUCAAAACCUGGAGGUUUCACAAAAAUAAGGAAGCUUUAUUWGUUCCGKAGUCGCCCCAACCAAAAUCUAAAACAGAUUGAUAUUUAGAAUUAUACAUCGCCGUCAAUUUACUCUUUUAAAGCUCAAUAGGGUCUUCUUGUCUUUCAAUAAUAUUUAGGUUUCUUCACCUAAAAAUCAAAUUCUAAAAAACUAUAUAGAGACAGUUUUGUUCGCGUCAAACCAUUCAUACUAGCCCUCAAUUAUAGGGCAAAUGAUUAUGCUACCUUUGCACGGUCAGAGUACCGCGGCCGUUAAAAACUAUUCACCGGGCAGGUCCGACUC